CGAGCCUGCUUCCAUCUGACGCUGGACGCUUGUCCCUGCCCCGCGUUGCCUUUUAAAUUUUAGCUCAUUCCGAGACACCUGCCGUCAGACAUUUAUGCAGUGUGUGAUUCUUUCUAAAACAACUCCCUGGAAGAGAGGACAUUUAAUUCAACAAUUUAUUGGCCACCUACUGUGCACCAGGCAGUAAACUUGGAACUGGGGCUACUGGGUUACAGCAGUGACCAAGACAGAGGUCCCUGUUCUUAAGGAGCAAGUGAGGGCAACAGAAAAGAGCAGUCAGCUGUCAUGCGAGGGCACUCAAGCAGCCCUGUGGAAAGCUCUACGUGGUGAGAAACUGAAGCCUCCUGCCAACACCAACAAGGAACUGAGACCUACUUCCAACAGCCAUCUGAGUGAUCCAUCCUGGAAUCAGAUCCUCCAGCCCCAGUCAAGUCUUCAGAUGACUGCAGCCCUGACCAGCAUCUCAACUGCAACCUCGUGAAUGACCCUGAGCCAGAACCAUGCAACUGAACUCUGCCUGGAUUCAUGACCCACAGAAACUGUGAGAUGGUAGCUGUUUGCUUUGUUAAGCCUCUAAGUCUGG
rnacentral:lncRNA from 1 species